GACGAACGCUGGCGGCGCGCCUAACACAUGCAAGUCGAACGAGCGAGAGAGAGCUUGCUUUCUCGAGCGAGUGGCGAACGGGUGAGUAACGCGUGAGGAACCUGCCUCAAAGAGGGGGACAACAGUUGGAAACGACUGCUAAUACCGCAUAAGCCCACGGCUCGGCAUCGAGCAGAGGGAAAAGGAGCAAUCCGCUUUGAGAUGGCCUCGCGUCCGAUUAGCUAGUUGGUGAGGUAAUGGCCCACCAAGGCGACGAUCGGUAGCCGGACUGAGAGGUUGAACGGCCACAUUGGGACUGAGACACGGCCCAGACUCCUACGGGAGGCAGCAGUGGGGAAUAUUGCACAAUGGGGGAAACCCUGAUGCAGCGACGCCGCGUGGAGGAAGAAGGUCUUCGGAUUGUAAACUCCUGUUGUUGGGGAAGAUAAUGACGGUACCCAACAAGGAAGUGACGGCUAACUACGUGCCAGCAGCCGCGGUAAAACGUAGGUCACAAGCGUUGUCCGGAAUUACUGGGUGUAAAGGGAGCGCAGGCGGGAAGACAAGUUGGAAGUGAAAUCUAUGGGCUCAACCCAUAAACUGCUUUCAAAACUGUUUUUCUUGAGUAGUGCAGAGGUAGGCGGAAUUCCCGGUGUAGCGGUGGAAUGCGUAGAUAUCGGGAGGAACACCAGUGGCGAAGGCGGCCUACUGGGCACCAACUGACGCUGAGGCUCGAAAGUGUGGGUAGCAAACAGGAUUAGAUACCCUGGUAGUCCACACCGUAAACGAUGAUUACUAGGUGUUGGAGGAUUGACCCCUUCAGUGCCGCAGUUAACACAAUAAGUAAUCCACCUGGGGAGUACGACCGCAAGGUUGAAACUCAAAGGAAUUGACGGGGGCCCGCACAAGCAGUGGAGUAUGUGGUUUAAUUCGACGCAACGCGAAGAACCUUACCAAGUCUUGACAUCCCUUGACAGGCAUAGAAAUAUGUUUUCUCUUCGGAGCAAGGAGACAGGUGGUGCAUGGUUGUCGUCAGCUCGUGUCGUGAGAUGUUGGGUUAAGUCCCGCAACGAGCGCAACCCUUAUGGUCAGUUACUACGCAAGAGGACUCUGGCCAGACUGCCGUUGACAAAACGGAGGAAGGUGGGGAUGACGUCAAAUCAUCAUGCCCUUUAUGACUUGGGCUACACACGUACUACAAUGGCGUUAAACAAAGAGAAGCAAGACCGCGAGGUGGAGCAAAACUCAGAAACAACGUCCCAGUUCGGACUGCAGGCUGCAACUCGCCUGCACGAAGUCGGAAUUGCUAGUAAUCGUGGAUCAGCAUGCCACGGUGAAUACGUUCCCGGGCCU
rnacentral:rRNA from 1 species